ensembl:lncRNA
CCGGCCACAGCAACGCCAUGGGAAUCAGUUUACCGCUGCCAUUGCUUCUCAGGAACACACGGGGGCGCUGUUGAGGACUGGUUCCACACCGCGACUGGUGGUUGGCCGUUGAUAACUGGGUUGUCAUAAAUGGUCCAUGCGCCUGCUGAGGUGCACUGAACCCUUGUGUUGGGCUUUAAUGUUACAGCGUUUUUCCAUUAACAAGCUCACAACCAGCCAUUUUUGACCAAAGCACGACCACUGUGCUAAGAUAGCGGGAUCCAAGUUCAGAUCAUCAACCAACCACUAUGCCAAAACCAGCCCACCUCCGUGGAUUUUCAACACGUUGAGUUGAACUUAAAGAUGAUUCUCUUCGAGAGUGACUCCUGGACCCUGAAAAUUGUGAAGCCAUCCUGUCAUACUUCAAAUUCAAGCUUUGCCACCCAGCAGGUGUCUGAUCUGGGAGCCCCAGAGAAAAGUAUGGGAAAAAUCACACCAGAAAAUCAUACAGUUGGGAUUGCAUGUUGCUGAAACCAAAACUAGGAUUUGCCCAGAAAUUUCUCAGACAUUGAAGACACAUCAAAGAACUCAGACAAGCUCCCUGUUCUCCUAGAACUUGUUUAACUUCAGCAGAGGAAGACCCAUCCUGCAAGUGUAAACUAACAUAUGAACAAGAAAAUCUUAAAAUCGUAAGUGUGACUGUGUAAUUUUAAAAGGUGAUGGGAGAGAAAUGAACAGGAGGAGGG